rnacentral:RNase_P_RNA from 1 species
GGAGUGGGCUGAGCGGUCGCUGUCGAAUCUGUCGGCGUUUUCGUCUUCAAGGCGUUUUCACCGACACUCGGCAGAGGAAAGUCCGGGCUUCACAGGACAGGGUGAUGGGUAACUCCCACCGUCCGCGAGGACAGGGACAGUGCAACAGAAAGCAUACCGCCGAUCGGGGAAACUUCGGUUUCCCAGGAGGUAAGGGUGAAACGGUGCGGUAAGAGCGCACCAGCAGGCCGGGUGACCGGUCUGGCUUGGUAAACCCCGCCCGAAGCAAAACCAAGCAGGGAGAAGCACGGGCGGCGAAAGUCGUCCCGUCGCGGUCCGGUUCGGCCCGUAAAAAACUCCCGGGUAGGUUGCGAUCGAACCGGCCGUCUAACGGUCGGUUCAACGAGGCGGCGAGCAAUCGUCGUCCCAGAGAAAUGGCCGUUCACGACAAAACCCGGCUUAUAGGCCCACUCCAGUC